AUAGCCUCUGCAAUGAAAAAUCACGUCCGUGCUCCAAGACACCGGAUUUAUUAAACAUCCCCAACGCCUGCCUCGGACAGGGGCAAACUUCACAGUGUAAAGUGUGUUGGAAGAUAGAAAAUACCUGAGUAAGAUCCACUGUUCUGUCAAUGCAGUAAGAGAUCGCCUCUGUCUCACAAGCAUCUGCAUGAGGUGCUAACAAGGCUGUCUGGAGCCGAGAGUGACGUGCAAGUGACCGAUAGAAAUACUUCUGGCAUCCAUCCCAGGCAGAAGAAAUCUCUGACAGCAACCUGGCAGAGCACAGAGAAGUAUGGUAAUAAAAAGCACCUCAGCAUGCUGGAGCCACCAGGUCAGCUCUUCAACACAAUCAUUUUGCCUGAAAUUUGUUGUUUUGAAAAUGCAUUGAUCUUGCAAUUCUUCAUUUUCUCUAAAAAUAUUAUAGUUUUAAGAAUUAAAACCAUUUAAUUUAAAAAAUAAGUUCUAAGGAAACCCUAAGGCAAUAGCAGCAAUCUCUAUUUUUGAAUACCAUUCAAUGCUUUAGUAGUGAUACUGUUUUUCUUCAUCCCCAUGUAGCUAAAUCCAGUUUCAUACAGAAGCCUUUCUUUUCACCCUAAUACAUAAACUAAAUGCUUACAUCACAGAACAAUAAACCAGCAUGUCUCAAUGACAAAAAAACACUCAUGGACAGACAAACAAUUUUAAAAAAAUCUGAAAAAACAUCUUUCCCCUAGGAAAGCUUUUCCAGUAAUGCACAUUUUGAAGUUUAUGUAUUUUCUCCUGAAAUAUCCCAUUAUUUAAUGAAGAAAUCCCUGAAAAUCACAGCUCACCUUCAAUAAAAUCAUUAGCAGUUUACGCUCUACUAUACUGCUAGCAAAGCAUCCCAGGCAAAGCUGGACAGUGGAGGGCUAUCUGAAAUCUAAUUCAUGGAAAGAAUGAAACUGAGGGUACAGUUGGUAAAGGGCAAAAAUAGAAAAAAACCCAAAAUUUAAAAAAACCCAAAUCCUUGCUCAGUUGUACAUACCAAACCGAGAUGUAAUGGGAGGAAGGGAAUAUGCAAAAUCCUAAAUUAAAUACUGUCCAGAAAUACCAUAAACUCUAGGUAUUACAGCUGCAAUUCACACAAUCAGAGGGUAAGAAGUCCUGUGUACAUACGUGGCAUCCAGUUCAUGUGUACAGUCCACUGCUGCCAAUG